rnacentral:rRNA from 1 species
CCCCCACACUGGUACUGAGACACGGACCAGACUCCUACGGGAGGCAGCAGUGAGGAAUAUUGGACAAUGGGCGGGAGCCUGAUCCAGCCAUGCCGCGUGCAGGAAGACGGUCCUAUGGAUUGUAAACUGCUUUUAUACGGGAAGAACCUGGGGCACGUGUGCCCCUCUGACGGUACCGUAAGAAUAAGGAUCGGCUAACUCCGUGCCAGCAGCCGCGGUAAUACGGAGGAUCCGAGCGUUAUCCGGAAUCAUUGGGUUUAAAGGGUCCGUAGGCGGGCCAUUAAGUCAGGGGUGAAAGUCUGCGGCUCAACCGUAGAAUUGCCCUUGAUACUGGUGGUCUUGAGUUAUGGUGAAGUAACUAGAAUAUGUGGUGUAGCGGUGAAAUGCAUAGAUAUCACAUAGAAUACCGAUUGCGAAGGCAGGUUACUAACCAUAUACUGACGCUGAUGGACGAAAGCGUGGGGAGCGAACAGGAUUAGAUACCCUGGUAGUCCACGCCGUAAACGAUGGAUACUAGCUGUCCGGCAGCAAUGCUGGGUGGCCAAGCGAAAGUGAUAAGUAUCCCACCUGGGGAGUACGUCCGCAAGGAUGAAACUCAAAGGAAUUGACGGGGGCCCGCACAAGCGGUGGAGCAUGUGGUUUAAUUCGAUGAUACGCGAGGAACCUUACCAGGGCUUAAAUGUGGUCUGACAGCUUUAGAGAUAGAGUUUCCUUCGGGCAGAUCACAAGGUGCUGCAUGGUUGUCGUCAGCUCGUGCCGUGAGGUGUCAGGUUAAGUCCUAUAACGAGCGCAACCCCUGCCGUUAGUUGCCAGCAUGUAAUGAUGGGGACUCUAACGGGACUGCCGGUGCAAACCGCGAGGAAGGUGGGGAUGACGUCAAAUCAUCACGGCCCUUACGUCCUGGGCCACACACGUGCUACAAUGGCCGGUACAGAGAGCAGCCAUGCCGCAAGGCAGAGCGAAUCUAUAAAACCGGUCACAGUU